GAUCAUGGCUCAGGACGAACGCUGGCGGCGCGCCUAACACAUGCAAGUCGAACGAGAGAUGAGGAGCUUGCUCUUCAAAUCGAGUGGCGAACGGGUGAGUAACGCGUGAGGAACCUGCCUCAAAGAGGGGGACGAACAGUUGGAAACGACUGCUAAUACCGCAUAAGCCCACGGCUCGGCAUCGAGCAGAGGGAAAAGGAGCAAUCCGCUUUGAGAUGGCCUCGCGUCCGAUUAG
rnacentral:rRNA from 1 species